rnacentral:rRNA from 1 species
UCCGGUUGAUCCUGCCGGAGGUCAUUGCUAUUGGAGUCCGAUUUAGCCAUGCUAGUUGCACGAGUUCAGACUCGUAGCAGAUAGCUCAGUAACACGUGGCCAAACUACCCUAUGGAUCCGAAUAACCUCGGGAAACUGAGGCUAAUUCGGAAUACGNCCGAAACGCUCCGGCGCCAUAGGAUGUGGCUGCGGCCGAUUAGGUAGACGGUGGGGUAACGGCCCACCGUGCCCAUAAUCGGUACGGGUUGUGAGAGCAAGAGCCCGGAGACGGUAUCUGAGACAAGAUACCGGGCCCUACGGGGCGCAGCAGGCGCGAAACCUUUACACUGCACGAAAGUGCGAUAAGGGGACUCCAAGUGCGAGGGCAUAUAGUCCUCGCUUUUUGCGACCGUAAGGUGGUCGCGGAAUAAGUGCUGGGCAAGACCGGUGCCAGCCGCCGCGGUAAUACCGGCAGCACNAUAGUCCUCGCUUUUUGCGACCGUAAGGUGGUCGCGGAAUAAGUGCUGGGCAAGACCGGUGCCAGCCGCCGCGGUAAUACCGGCAGCACAAGUGAUGACCGCUAUUAUUGGGCCUAAAGCGUCCGUAGCUGGCCAUGCAAGUCCAUCGGGAAAUCCGCGCGCUUAACGCGCGGGCGUCCGGUGGAAACUGCAUGGCUUGGGACCGGAAGACCAGAGGGGUACGUCCGGGGUAGGAGUGAAAUCCCGUAAUCCUGGACGGACCACCGGUGGCGAAAGCGCCUCUGGAAGACGGAUCCGACGGUGAGGGACGAAAGCUCGGGUCACGAACCGGAUUAGAUACCCGGGUAGUCCGAGCUGUAAACGAUGUCUGCUAGGUGUGGCACAGGCUACGAGCCUGUGCUGUGCCGCAGGGAAGCCGUGAAGCAGACCGCCUGGGAAGUACGUCCGCAAGGAUGAAACUUAAAGGAAUUGGCGGGGGAGCACUACAACCGGAGGAGCCUGCGGUUUAAUUGGACUCAACGCCGGACAUCUCACCAGCAUCGACAAUGUGCAGUGAAAGUCAGGUUGAUGACCUUACUGGAGCCAUUGAGAGGAGGUGCAUGGCCGCCGUCAGCUCGUACCGUGAGGCGUCCUGUUAAGUCAGGCAACGAGCGAGACCCGCACUCCUAAUUGCCAGCAACACCUAGCGGUGGUUGGGUACAUUAGGAGGACUGCCAGUGCCAAACUGGAGGAAGGAACGGGCAACGGUAGGUCAGUAUGCCCCGAAUGUGCUGGGCGACACGCGGGCUACAAUGGCCGAGACAGUGGGAUGCAACCCCGAAAGGGGGCGCUAAUCUCCGAAACUCGGUCGUAGUUCGGAUUGAGGGCUGAAACUCGCCCUCAUGAAGCUGGAUUCGGUAGUAAUCGCGCCUCAGAAGGGCGCGGUGAAUACGUCCCUGCUCCUUGCACACACCGCCCGUCAAAGCACCCGAGUGGGGUCCGGAUGAGGCCGACGCAACGUCGGUCGAAUCUGGGCUCCGCAAGGGGGCUUAAGUCGUAACAAGGUAGCCGUAGGGGAAUCUGCGGCUG